ACGGGUGAGUAAUAUAUCGGAACGUGCCCUAGAGUGGGGGAUAACUAGUCGAAAGACUAGCUAAUACCGCAUACGAUCUAAGGAUGAAAGUGGGGGAUCGCAAGACCUCAUGCUCCUGGAGCGGCCGAUAUCUGAUUAGCUAGUUGGUGGGGUAAAAGCCUACCAAGGCGACGAUCAGUAGCUGGUCUGAGAGGACGACCAGCCACACUGGGACUGAGACACGGCCCAGACUCCUACGGGAGGCAGCAGUGGGGAAUUUUGGACAAUGGGGGCAACCCUGAUCCAGCAAUGCCGCGUGAGUGAAGAAGGCCUUCGGGUUGUAAAGCUCUUUUGUCAGGGAAGAAACGGUUUUGGCUAAUAUCCAGAACUAAUGACGGUACCUGAAGAAUAAGCACCGGCUAACUACGUGCCAGCAGCCGCGGUAAUACGUAGGGUGCAAGCGUUAAUCGGAAUUACUGGGCGUAAAGCGUGCGCAGGCGGUUGUGUAAGACAGAUGUGAAAUCCCCGGGCUCAACCUGGGAAUUGCAUUUGUGACUGCACGGCUAGAGUGUGUCAGAGGGGGGUAGAAUUCCACGUGUAGCAG
rnacentral:rRNA from 1 species